rnacentral:rRNA from 1 species
AUGGCGAUGGCGGAGGCGGAAAGCAAUGGCUUCGAGUUCCUGUCGGAUCCGGUCGACAGGUUUCCGCUGAUGGAUCUAUCCGGCGGCAACUGCAUGCCCUCCAACGAAGCCAUUGAAGCUCUGAUCUGCGCCCCGUCCGAUUCCAGUAUGGGCGACGCUGGGGACAGAGCGCUGACAAUGGAGGCGGAUUUGAACAGUACUUGCGAUGAUGUGCCCCUGUCAGCGCCACCUUCAGAGCCGUCAACAGGGAAAGACGAUCCUCAAGGCACCUGGCUGGACAGAGAGGUCAAAAGAGACGAUUGCGACAGAUUGGUUCCUUUUAUGUAG